GACGAACGCUGGCGGCGUGCCUAAUACAUGCAAGUAGAACGCACAGUUUAUACCGUAGCUUGCUACACCAUAGACUGUGAGUUGCGAACGGGUGAGUAACGCGUAGGUAACCUGCCUGGUAGCGGGGGAUAACUAUUGGAAACGAUAGCUAAUACCGCAUAAUAUUAAUUAUUGCAUGAUAAUUAAUUGAAAGGUGCAAUUGCACCACUACCAGAUGGACCUGCGUUGUAUUAGCUAGUAGGUGAGGUAACGGCUCACCUAGGCGACGAUACAUAGCCGACCUGAGAGGGUGAUCGGCCACACUGGGACUGAGACACGGCCCAGACUCCUACGGGAGGCAGCAGUAGGGAAUCUUCGGCAAUGGACGAAAGUCUGACCGAGCAACGCCGCGUGAGUGAAGAAGGGUUUCGGAUCGUAAAGCUCUGUUGUAAGAGAAGAACGGGUGUGAGGGUGGAAAGUUCACACUGUGACGGUAUCUUACCAGAAAGGGACGGCUAACUACGUG
rnacentral:rRNA from 1 species